GGCAAAAGAAACCAUUCAUCAUAAUGACAUAUUGAUUGUUAUCGGUAACGAUAGUGACAUCGAUCGCUUUGAAAAAAAGGUAAUGUAAUAUAGAAAAGCGAAAGCGCCUGUGCAAGGCGCUUUCGCUUU
rnacentral:sRNA from 1 species